AGCGAACGCUGGCGGCAGGCCUAACACAUGCAAGUCGAACGGAUCCUUCGGGAUUAGUGGCGGACGGGUGAGUAACACGUGGGAACGUGCCUUUUGGUUCGGAACAACUCAGGGAAACUUGAGCUAAUACCGGAUAAGCCUUUCGAGGGAAAGAUUUAUCGCCAUUAGAGCGGCCCGCGUAGGAUUAGCUAGUUGGUGGGGUAAAGGCCCACCAAGGCUACGAUCCUUAGCUGGUCUGAGAGGAUGAUCAGCCACAUUGGGACUGAGACACGG
rnacentral:rRNA from 1 species